UUAGCUCGGCUGGUUCAGAGCAUUCCGAUACAAUCGGAAGAGUCGGCGGUUCGAAUCCGUCAACGCCCA
rnacentral:tRNA from 1 species